rnacentral:rRNA from 1 species
UACGGAGGGGGCUAGCGUUGUUCGGAAUUACGGGGGUUAAAGCGCACGUAGGCGGUUUUGUCAGUCAGGGGUGAAAUCCCGGGGCUCAACCUCGGAACUGCCUUUGAUACAGCAAGUCUUGAGUUCGAGAGAGGUGGGUGGAAUUCCUAGUGUAGAGGUGAAAUUCGUAGAUAUUAGGAAGAACACCGGUGGCGAAGGCGGCCCACUGGCUCGAUACUGACGCUGAGGUGCGAAAGCGUGGGGAGCAAACAGG